UCGCUAGGUUUGAAACUACGUGUCCCAGACUGCAUCCCUGCUGAGAGUCCCUCCCUCCCUUCUCAAGUUGCAGGAAGAACGCGAGCGCCCAUCCCGUGUCAAUCAGUCACCAUAUAAUUUUGGAUUGGUUGUUGUGGUGAAGUUUUCCACCAAUAGGAGAGAUGUUGUGGUGUGUUUUUUUCUUUUCUUUUGGCAAGCCUUUUCCGCCUGUAAGACCUGUCGCUAAUGUCUGCAUGCUAUGUUUUCCUGUCUCAUACAGCGCGAUCGAGCGCCGAACGUGAUCAAAAUAAGCAGAAAAAAAGUAUUGCGGACAUAAUUUAUCAUAACUCUGGUUUUAUUUGGCCUAUCAACACAAUUUAAAAACUGGUAUAUAGUUUGAGGUCCUCACUUUUAAGAUAGGUUGAAACGAAGAAUCAACGAGGCUCCGUCUUGCAGCUACAUCCGGUUAAAUAUGUCAUGUGACUUGAACGCUGGGGAGCGUCAAUCGAAUCGAAUCAAACCUAACUCUCAGAUGAAUCUUCAAAAUUCACCUCAGAAAUAUGCUUAUUAUUCUUCUCAGAGUACUGCAGGAUACACACACACACAGACACACACACACACACGCACACACACUCAGAGUCUGUUUUUUAGCACCUGCAAACACAUGCUAUUUACAUAUUUGACAAGAAUGCAGAGGCUUUCUUUUGCCUCUGAAAAAAAUCAAAUUUCAAACACAACUUGACUGCUCAUUUCUCCAAAAGACAACCAUGAAGCUCCAUCCAAACCUGAAGCAGGCAGUUGGUGCAUGUGUACAGUAACCUGAGGGGAGUGAGGUGACUGCUUCUGAGGAGAACAUGAGCAGUGAAGAUUCACCUUGGAGCUAGAACAGGGACGUGCACAUGAUUUGCAGGGGCAGGGGCUCAAUUUUUUCCAGUCGUUUAUACAAUAUGGAAAUUAAUGUGAAAUUAAAAAACAAAGUAUUAAUAGAAAGGUAAUGACUGUCCUGUGUAGGUGACAGUGAUAUCCAAUAGGCUAGGCACUCACGAGGCUGGCUGUGGCAAGUGUAAGUGAAAGCAACACGCACUGGCAGGAAGAACAGCAAACGCCGAUGAAGGCAAAGGGUCUUUGCAGUGAUGGGCGUUACCAGAGAGGGCGAUGGCCAGAGGACGCGAAUGGGACGGGGAGGCAGCGCGUUGGGGGGGGGCGCGACACGGCUCGGGCCCGCCAGUGCCCCAACGGGGCCCUAGUUAUUAUUUUUCCUCCGCUUUAAACUGGAAAAUGGCCCACUUCCCACUGGCGAAAACUCAUGAAAUUUGGCAGGACGACCGGGCCUGGUGAAAAAUUCGAUAUUCUGAAGUCGCCCAAACAAUAAAAUGCAAAAUGGCUCCAUAGCGCCCCCUAAGGCGAAAAUUCACACUAUUGACUGUCACGCCUGUACGCUUUGUCAUAUUGACACAAAAAUUGACACACACGUGUAUCUCAAUACGGUCUACGAAAAAGUCAGCGCGGGCGCAUCUGUGAAAUGUACGGUUAGAGGGUUAUUUCGCAUUUUUUGCCGAUCUGCACACAUUGGAAUUUGGCUAACUCCUCCGAAGGCAUUCGUUCCACCGGCACCACAUUUGCUCAAGCCAAUCUACACCCCAUGGCCAUUAAAAGUUGUACAAAUCAUGACGCUGCACCCCACAGUUUACGUUCUAGGGGGCGCCAAAGAUAACCCAAAAAUCCACAGUCUUAAAAGUCUUAUAACUUUUUAUUUUUGCCCUCACUGGCCUCCAAGUUUUCUAGGAUGAUGCAAUGUCCAGCCAUCAACACAUUUGUGAAGGAAUUUUUACUCCCCAAAAGAGCGCCCCCACAUGGCAGGAGAAAAAAGUCCAUUUUUUCUUGUCCCCUAAGGUGAAAAUACACAUUGUUGAGUGUCACGCCUAUACGCUUUGUCAUAUUGACACAAAAUUUGACAAUCACGUGUAUCUCAAUAAGAUCUACGAAAAAGUCAAUGGGCACGUAUCUGUAAAAUGUACGGUUAAAGGGUUAUUUCGCAUUUUUUCCCGAUCCGCACACAUUGGAUUUUCACUAACUCCUCCGAAGGCUUUAGUUCCACCGCCACCAAAUUUGCUCAGGCCAAUCUACACCCCAUGGCCAUUAAAAGUUGUACAAAUCAUGACGUUGCACUCCACGGUUUAGGUUCUAGGGGGCGCCAAAGAUAACCCAAAAAUCCACAUUCUUAAUAGUCUUAUAACUUUUUAUUUUUGUCCUCACUGGCCUCCAAGUUUUCUAGGAUGAUGCAAUGUCCAGCCAUCAACACAUUUGUAAAGGAAUUUUUACUCCCGAAAAGAGCGCCCCCCCAUGGCAGGAGAAAAAUGUCCAUUUUUUCUUGUCCCCUAAGGUGAAAAAACACAUUGUUGACUGUCACGCCUAUACGCUUUGUCAAAAUGACACAAAAUUUGACACACACGUGUAUCUCAAUAAGAUCUACGAAAAAGUCAAUGGGCACGUAUCUGUAAAAUGUACGGUUAAAGGGCUAUUUCGCAUUUUUUGCAGAUCUGCACACAUUGGAAUGUGGCUAACUCCUCCUAAGGCUUUCUUCCCACCGACACCAAAUUUGCUCAAGCCGAUCUACAUCCCAUGGCCAUUCAAAGUUGUAAAAAUCAUGCCGCUGCACCCCAUGGUUUACGUUCUAGGGGGCGCCAAAGAUGACCCAAAUAUCCACAUUCUUAAAAGAAUCCACAUCCCCCCCCCCCCCCCCCCCCCCCCCCCCCCCCCAAGGCAGGAGAAAAAGUCCAGUUAACCCUGCCCAUCGCUCAAUGGCUCAAUCGCAUCGCUCUCCUGGCAACACCGUAAGGAGGAGCAACUUGCCAUUUGGAUAUAUCCUAGCUGUGUUUGUGCCCUCACUCAUGGUCCAGACUUUUUUCAAAUAGGACAUGUAGUUUGUCUGCAGCGACCGUUUUGGUAGAAACUGCGCCUCCCAUUCAUUAUAAUGGGAAAUGACCACAGACAAGUGCGCACACCAUCUUUGGACCUUGAGUGUGAUGCGAUCGGGAGGGGGAGGCGGUCGCGCUGGGGGCGGCGCGACGCGGCUCGGGCCCGACAGUGCCCCACCGGGGCCCUAGUUUGUUAUUAUUAUUAUUUUUCCUCCCCUUUGAACUGGAAAAUGGCCCACUUCCCACUGGCGAAAACUCAUGAAAUUUGGCAGGACGACCGGGCCUGGUGAAAAAUUUGAUAUUCCGAAGUCGCCCAAACAAGAAAAUGCAAAAUGGCUCCAUAGCGCCCCCUAAGGUGAAAAUUCACACUAUUGACUGUCACGCGUGUACGCUUUGUCAAAAUGACACAAAAAUUGACACACACAUGUAUCUCAAUAAGAUCUACAAAAAAGUCAGUGCGGGCGUAUCUGUCAAAUGUACGGUUAAAGGGUUAUUUCGCAUUUUUUGCCGAUCCGCACACAUUGGAAUUUCGCUAACUCCUCCGAAGGCUUUCGUUCCACCGGCACCACAUUUGCUCAGGCCAAUCUACACCCCAUGGCCAUUAAAAGUUAUUCAAAUCAUGACGCUGCACCCCACGGUUUAGGUUCUAGGGGGCGCCAAAGAUAACCCUAAGAUCCACAUAUUUAAAAGUCUUAUAACUUUUUAUUUUUGCCCUCACUGGCCUCCAAGUUUUCUAGGAUGAUGCAAUGUCCAGCCAUCAACACAUUUGUGAAGGAAUUUUGACUCCCCAAAAGAGCGCCCCCCCAUGGCAGGAGAAAAAAGUCCAUUUUGUCUUGUCCCCUAAGGUGAAAAUACACAUUGUUGAGUGUAACACCUGUACGCUUUGGCAAAAUGACACAAAAAUUGACACACACAUGUAUCUCAAUAAGAUCUACGAAAAAGUCAAUGCGCGCGUAUCUGUCAAAUGUACGGUUAAAGGGUUAUUCCGCAUUUUUUGCCGAUCCACACACAUUGGAAUUUCGCUAACUCCUCCGAAGGCUUUCGUUCCACCGGCACCACAUUUGCUCAGGCCAAUCUACACCCCAUGGCCAUUAAAAGUUAUUCAAAUCAUGACGCUGCACCCCACGGUUUAGGUUCUAGGGGGCGCCAAAGAUAACCCUAAAAUCCACAUAUUUAAAAGUCUUAUAACUUUUUAUUUUUGUCCUCACUGGCCUCCAAGUUUUCUAGGAUGAUGCAAUGUCCAGCCAUCAACACAUUUGUGAAGGAAUUUUUACUCCCCAAAAGAGCGCCCCCCCAUGGCAGGAGAAAAAAGUCAAUUUUUUCUUGUCCCCUAAGGUGGAAAUUCACACUAUUGACUGUCACGCCUGUACGCUUUAUCAUAUUGACACAAAAAUUGACACACAUAUGUAUCUCAAUAAGAUCUACAAAAAAGUCAAUGCGCGCGUAUCUGUAAAAUGUACGGUUAAAGGGCUAUUUUGCAUUUUUUGCCGAUUCGCACACAUUGGAAUGUGGCUAACUCCUCCUAAGGCUUUCGUCCCACUGACACCAAAUUUGCUCAGGCCAAUCUACACCCCAUGGCCAUGCAAAGUUGUAAAAAUCAUGACGCUGCACCCCACGGUUUACGUUCUAGGGGGCGCCAAAGAUGACCCAAAAAUCCACAUUCUUAAAGGAAUCCACAUCCCCCCCCCCCCAAGGCAGGAGAAAAAGUCAAGUUUAACCUGCCCAUCGCUCAAUGGCUCAAUCGCAUCGCUCUCCAGGCAACACCGUAAGGAGGAGCAACCUGCCAUUUCGAUAUAUCAUAGCUGUGUUUGUGCCCUCACUCAUGGUCCAGACUUUUUUCAAAUAGGACAUGAAGUUUGUCUGCAGCGAGUGUUUUGGUAGAAACUGCGCCUCCCAUUCAUUAUAAUGGGAAAUGACCACAGACAAGUGCGCACACCAUCUUUGGACCUUGAGUGUGACGCGAUCGGGAGGGGGAGGCGGUCGCGCUGGGGGCGGCGCGACGCGGCUCGGGCCCGACAGUGCCCCACCGGGGCCCUAGUCUUAUUAUUUUUCUGCCCCUUUGAACUGGAAAAUGGCCCACUUCCCACUGGCGAAAACUCAUGAAAUUUGGCAGGACGACCGGGCCUGGUGAAAAAUUCGAUAUUCUGAAGUCGCCCAAACAAUAAAAUGCAAAACGGCUCCAUAGCGCCCCCUAAGGUGAAAAUUCACACUAUUGACUGUCACGCCUGUACGCUUUGUCAUAUUGACACAAAAAUUGACACACACGUGUAUCUCAAUAAGAUCUACAAAAAAGUCAGUGCGGGCGUAUCUGUCAAAUGUAUGGUUAAAGGGUUAUUUCGCAUUUUUUGCCGAUCCGCACACAUUGGAAUUUCGCUAACUCCUCCGAAGGCUUUCGUUCCACUGGCACCACAUUUGCUCAGGCCAAUCUACACCCCAUGGCCAUUAAAAGUUGUACAAAUCAUGACGCUGCACCCCACGGUUUAGGUUCUAGGGGGCGCCAAAGAUAACCCAAAAAUCCACAGUCUUAAAAGUCUUAUAACUUUUUAUUUUUGUCCUCACUGGCCUCCAAGUUCUCUAGGAUGUUGCAAUGUCCAGCAAUUAACACAUUUGUGAAGGAAUUUUUACUCGCCAAAAGAGUGCCCCCCCAUGGCAGGAGAAAAAAGUCCAUUUUUUCUUGUCUCCUAAGGUGAAAAUACACAUUGUCGAGUGUCACGCUUGUAUGCUUUGUCAUAUUUACACACAAUUUGACAACCACUUGAAUCUCAAUAAGAUCUACGAAAAAGUCAAUGUGCGCGUAUCUGUCAAAUGUACGGUUAAAGGGUUAUUCUGCAUUUUUUGCAAAUUUGCACACAUUGGAAUUUUUCUAAGUCCUCCGAAGGCUUUUGUCCCACUGACACCACAUUUGCUCAGGCCAAUCUACACUCCAUGGCCAUUCAAAGUUGUACAAAUCAUGACGCUGCACCCCACGGUUUAGGUUCUAGGGGGCACCAAAGAUAACCCAAAAAUCCACAGUCUUAAAAGUCUUAUAACUUUUUAUUUUUGUCCUCAGUGGCCUCCAAGUUGUCUAGGAUGAUGCAAUGUCCAGCAAUUAACACAUUUGUGAAGGAAAUUUUACUCGCCAAAAGAGUGCCCCCCCAUGGCAGGAGAAAAAAGUCCAUUUUUUCUUGUCUCCUAAGGUGAAAAUACACAUUGUCGAGUGUCACGCCUGUACGCUUUGUCAUAUUUACACACAAUUUGACAACCACAUGAAUCUCAAUAAGAUCUAUGAAAAAGUCAAUGUGCGCGUAUCUGUCAAAUGUACGGUUAAAGGGUUAUUCUGCAUUUUUUGCAGAUUUGCACACAUUGGAAUUUUGCUAACUCCUCCGAAGGCUUUUGUCCCACUGACACCAAAUUUGCUCAGGCCAAUCUACACUCCAUGGCCAUUCAAAGUUGUACAAAUCAUGACGCUGCACCCCACGGUUUACGUUCUAGGGGGCGCCAAAGAUAACCCAAAAAUCCACAGUCUUAAAAGUCUUAUAACUUUUUAUUUUUUUCCUCACUGGCCUCCAAGUUCUCUAGGAUGAUGCAAUGUCCAGCCAUCAACACAUUUGUGAAGGAAUUUUUACUCCCCAAAAGAGCGCCCCCCCAUGGCAGGAGAAAAAAGUCCAUUUUUUCUUGUCCCCUAAGGUGAAAAUACACAUUGUUGAGUGUCACGCCUAUACGCUUUGUCAUAUUGACCCAAAAUUUGACAAUCACGUGUAUCUCAAUAAGAUCUACGAAAAAGUCAAUGGGCACGUAUCUGUAAAAUGUACGGUUAAAGGGCUAUUUUGCAUUUUUUCCCGAUCCGCACACAUUGGAAUUUCGCUAACUCCUCCGAAGGCUUUAGUUCCACCGCCACCAAAUUUGCUCAGGCCAAUCUACACCCCAUGGCCAUUAAAAGUUGUACAAAUCAUGACGCUGCACUCCACGGUUUAGGUUCUAGGGGGCGCCAAAGAUAACCCAAAAAUCCACAUUCUUAAUAGUCUUAUAACUUUUUAUUUUUGUCCUCACUGGCCUCCAAGUUUUCUAGGAUGAUGCAAUGUCCAGCCAUCAACACAUUUGUGAAGGAAUUUUUACUCCCGAAAAGAGCGCCCCCCCAUGGCAGGAGAAAAAAGUCCAUUUUUUCUUGUCCCCUAAGGUGAAAAAACACAUUGUUGACUGUCACGCCUAUACACUUUGUCAAAAUGACACAAAAUUUGACACACACGUGUAUCUCAAUAAGAUCUACGAAAAAGUCAAUGGGCACGUAUCUGUAAAAUGUACGGUUAAAGGGCUAUUUCGCAUUUUUUGCCGAUUCGCACACAUUGGAAUGUGGCUAACUCCUCCUAAGGCUUUCUUCCUACCAACACCAAAUUUGCUCAAGCCGAUCUACAUCCCAUGGCCAUUCAAAGUUGUAAAAAUCAUGCCGCUGCACCCCAUGGUUUACGUUCUAGGGGGCGCCAAAGAUGACCCAAAUAUCCACAUUCUUAAAAGAAUCCACAUCCCCCCCCCCAAGGCAGGAGAAAAAGUCCAGUUAACCCUGCCCAUCGCUCAAUGGCUCAAUCGCAUCGCUCUCCUGGCAACACCGUAAGGAGGAGCAACUUGCCAUUUGGAUGUAUCCUAGCUGUGUUUGUGCCCUCACUCAUGGUCCAGACUUUUUUCAAAUAGGACAUGUAGUUUGUCUGCAGCGACCGUUUUGGUAGAAACUGCGCCUCCCAUUCAUUAUAAUGGUAAAUGACCACAGACAAGUGCGCACACCAUCGUUGAACCUUGAGUGUGACGCGAUCGGGAGGGAGAGGCGGUCGCGCUGGGGGCGGCGUGACACAGCUCGGGCCCGCCAGUGCCCCAACGGGGCCCUAGUUCUUUCUGUUCUUCACAAAGGCCCACUUAGGAUAUCCAUAUAUUGUCAGGGCAUUUUUGAUGUGCUUCUGUUCCUUUUCCUUACAUUCUUUCUUUGUGGGAAUGUUCUCAGCCCGGUGGUUGAGUGUUCUGAAAACACCCAGCUUGUGCUGCAGAGGAUGGUGGGAAUCAAAAAGUAAAUAUUGAUCCAUGUGUGUGGGUUUCCUGUACACUUCAACGUUGAGACACCCAUCUGCCUCCAAGUGUACAGCACAAUCCAAGAGGGCCAAAAUGUUGUCCCUGACAUCUUCACGGGUGAACUUGAUGUUGCUGUCCACUGUGUUGAUAUGGUCUGUGAAGGCCUCUACUUCAUGUGUUUUGAUCUUAACCCAGGUGUCAUCCACAUAUCUGAACCAGUGGCUAGGUGCUUCUCCUUUGAAGGAGGUUAGGGCCUUUCUCUCUACCUCUUCCAUGUACAGGUUUGCCACUACUGAAGAAACCGGGGAGCCCAUGGCACAUCCAUGUUUCUUUCUGUGAUGACACUCUCUGAACUAGAAAUAGGUGGUGCUGAGGCAGAUGUGGUCGGGGUUAAGUUAGUUCUGACCUCCAGUGUGCGGUCCUGUAAGAGGUGUUGUCUUACUGCUUGGACUUCCUCUGUUGUAGGAAUACUCGUGAAAAGUGAUGUCACAUCAUAGGAAACCAUGGUUUCAUCUGGGUCCAGCCUGAUGUCCUUGAUUUUUUCAGCAAAGUCCUGUGAGUUUUUGAUGUGGUGAGUGGUGUGGCCAACAAGAGGAGCAAGGAUGGGGACCAAAUGUUUUGCCACUUUGUAUGUGACUGAGUUAAUGCUGAUGAUGAUGGGUCUAAGGGGGGCCCCUUCCUUGUGUAUUUUAGGUAAUCCGUAAAUGCACGGGACUGCUUCCCCUGGGUAAAGCCAGUAAUAGAGUGGGCGGCCAAUAACUCAAUCCUUUUCCAGCUGUUGAAGUACACUGAUAACUCUUUUUUUCGUAGCUGUUGGUAGGAUCCAGUUUUAUAGUUCCAUAGCUGGCAGUUUCACUGAGAAGGCUUGUUCGUUAUUUUUCCUCCGCUUUAAACUGGAAAAUGGCCCACUUCCCACUGGCGAAAACUCAGGAAAUUUGGCAGGACGACCGGGCCUGGUGAAAAAUUUGAUAUUCUGAAGUCGCCCAAACAAAAAAAUGAAAAAUGGCUCCAUAGCGCCCCCUAUGGUGAAAACUCACCUGACGCCUGUACGCUUUGUCAAAAUGACACAAAAUUUGACACACAUGUGUAUCUCAAUAAGAUCUACAAAAAAGUCAGUGCGGGCGUAUCUGUCAAAUGUACCGUUAAAGGGCUAUUUCGCAUUUUUGGUCGAUUCGCACACAUUGGAAUUUCGCUAACUCCUCCGAAGGCUUUCGUUCCACCGGCACCAAAUUUGCUCAGGCCAAUCUACACCCCAUGGCCAUUAAAAGUUGUACAAAUCAUGACGCUGCAUCCCACGGUUUACGUUCUAGGGGGCGCCAAAGAUAACCCAGAAAUCCACAUUCUUAAAAGUCGUAUAACUUUUUAUUUUUGUCCUCACUGGCCUCCAAGUUUUCUAGGAUGAUGCAAUGUCUAGCCAUCAACACAUUUGUGAAGGAAUUUUUACUCCCCAAA
rnacentral:lncRNA from 1 species